GGGCUGACAUGCUUCUACUCUGAAGGCACAGUGGGUGGGGCCCUUUGCCGUUCUCCCCUCCCUCUGCCUGGAGAGAAGCUAAGCCUCAGGACUAAUCCCGUGUGGGAAGGGCCAUGAUGUGUCUGCUCUGGGCAUUGAGGAUGCGGGUCCCUAUUGCCCCUCAGUCAGGACUUCCAUUCCCAGAAUUAGGAUUUGCCCCAAAUGGUUCAGCCCUUGCAUCCCUCUCCUCAACUCCUAGCUCUGCUUGCCUCUGACACUUGGGAUCCUGGGCUCCUGCAAACUAAAUAACAGCUGCCAUUGCUGGAGCCCCGCUGGGUGCGAAACACUCAUGGGCAUCUUCCCACUGAAUCCACACAACAGCCCUAUGAGAUAGAGUUUCUUUUCACCUCCCUUUUAGAGAGGGAAACUAAAGCUCCAAGGGGCUAAUUUGCCUGAGGGCACACAGCCUGGGAGAGCCUCUCUGAGCUACUGUGAGGAUUCAACCAUGCAUGUUGGUGCUUCAGUGGUGCCCACCAAACAGAAAGCCUUCUCCAGUCGGUUCUGUUGCUACUAUUGCUGUUAAUAUUAACAUUAAGCGAUGGAGUUGGCAGUGGCCCCUAUUCUGUCUCCCUGCAAAGCUGGUACCCACCAUUAACUCUGAGUGGGUCUGUUCUUGAAAAGCCUGAGGUAGUGGGGGCAGAGAGGGCUGGGUUCCCAGAUGUGAGGCAUCUCUGGGGUGACCGCUAAUCCACUCAGCACAGCAGGUGUGAGCCCACAGCAGCAGGAUUUCCUCAGAUCCACGAUGGCUAACUUUUCAACACUGCUCCUCCCCCUCAACAGGGCUUUCUUUCUUUUCUUCUGUUUUUUUUUUUUUCUUUUUGUUUUUUGUUUUUGAGAUAGAGUCUUGCUCUGUCGCCCAGGCUGAAGUUGCAGUGAGCUGAGAUGGUGCCAUUGCACUCCAGCCUGAGCUACAGAGCAAGACUCCAUCUCAAAAACAAACAAACAAAAAACCAUAUCUCUCAAAAUAAGAACAUUCUACCUAGCCCAAACAACAUUUUAUUACACACAAUUAUUAAUUUCUUAAUAUCAUCAAAUAUCCAAUCUAAAUUCCAGUUUCUCCAGUUAUCCUGAAACCGCCUUUUCCAGCUGCUCUGUUUUUCCAGGCUAGGACCACACAUUGCAUUUGUUCCCCUUUCAAUUCUCUUUUAAUCUAGCCCAGUCCUUCUCCUUGCUAUUGACUUGCUGACCAGUCUGGGCUGGUGUCCUAUAGAAUGUUCCACCUUUUGGGUCUAAUUACAUCCUCAUGGGUGGUUCCUCGAUACACAUUUCCUGUGAACUGGAGGUUAGAUCUAAACACUUGAUUAGAGUCACAUUAAACAUUUGGGCUGGGCAUGGUGGCUCACGCCUGUAAUCCCAGCACUUUGGGAGGCUGAGGCAGGCAGAUCGCUUGAGCCCAGGAGCUUGAGACCAGUCUGGGUAACAUAGUGAGACCCUGUCUCCACAAAAUAUAUGUUUAAAAAUUAGCUGGGUGUGGACUGAAGCAGGAGGAUCACUUGAGCCCAGGAGAUUGAGGCUGCAGUGAACUAUGAUGGUGUCACUGCACUCCAGCUUGGGUGACAGAGUGAGACCCUGUCUCAAAAAAACGCAAAGCACAAAAAACCACAACAUUUUGGACCAGACUACAUCAGAGGUGAUGUUUUUUCAUGGCAGAGGACACAUGCUAUCUGGAUGUCCCAUUAUUAGUAACUCUAGCAUGGACCACUGGCAUGGUUGAAGGGGGUCUGAUCCCACCAUUGUAAAGUCAUGUUUUCCUCCUGCAGUCGGAGAAUAUCCAGUCCCCCAUCAACUCCAUUUGCUAGUUUUUGACAAUUGCUAAUCCUUGCCUGAGUCAAUAAUUUAGUAAUUGCCAAAAAAAAAAAAGCUGACUUUUAAAUGCUAUGAUUCCUUUAACAUCUACUAGCUAUCAGCUAUCAUUUGUAUACUCUUUCCUUCAUCAUCUUGGGUUUCCCUGAAAUACAGUGGAAAGGCAAGAUAAAUACUUCAUUCUUUCUCUUUAGUUAUCUAUUUUUAAAGUAAGAAAUUAAUUUAGGCUGGGUACGGUGGCUCACGCCUGUAAUCCUAGCACUUUGGGAG
rnacentral:lncRNA from 10 species